rnacentral:rRNA from 1 species
UAUUUUGACUAUACGAAGGUAUUGAAAUAAGGCUUUAAAUGGGUGCUAAGAGAAUGGUUGAACAAUUAUUAACUUUCUUUAAUUUAGAAAUUAAAUUUAAUUUUCUUGUGAAGAAGCAAGAAUGAUAAUUAGGGACAAGAAGACCCUAUGAAUUUUUUAUUUUAUUUUAUUUUUUUUCUAAAAAUAAAAUAAAAUUUGAUUGGGGCGAUGAAAAAAGAAUAUGUAUCUUUUAUUGAUUAAUUAUAAGUUGGUUCCGUUUUUUACGAUUAAAUGAGAAAAAUACUCUAGGGAUAACAGCGUAAUAAUUUUGGAUAGUUCAUAUAGAUAAAAUAGUUUGCGACCUCGAUGUUGGAUUAGGAUUCUUUUUCGGUGAAGAAGUUGAGAAAAAGAAGUUUGUUCAACUUUUAAAUUCC